GUGCUUGCUUCGGCAGCACAUAUACUAAAAUUGGAACAAUACAAGGAAGAUUAGCAUGGCCCCUGCACGUGGAUGACAUGCAAAAAAAAAAAAGAAAGAAAAUAGUU